UCUUAAAAAUUUCAUCGAUUUCUAUUGUUAAAAAAAUGUCAUGGCUAAUAGAAUAAGUAGAAAGUUACAUGUGGCGUGCCACGUGUCUCUCAUUCUGAUAUAUAGGGACCAAAUUUAACAGUAAAAAUGGAUAAAUUUUUUAACA
rnacentral:pre_miRNA from 1 species